rnacentral:rRNA from 1 species
GAUGAACGCUGGCGGCGUGCCUAAUACAUGCAAGUCGAGCGAACGGACGAGAAGCUUGCUUCUCUGAUGUUAGCGGCGGACGGGUGAGUAACACGUGGAUAACCUACCUAUAAGACUGGGAUAACUUCGGGAAACCGGAGCUAAUACCGGAUAAUAUUUUGAACCGCAUGGUUCAAAAGUGAAAGACGGUCUUGCUGUCACUUAUAGAUUGAUCCGCGCUGCAUUAGCUAGUUGGUAAGGUAACGGCUUACCAAGGCAACGAUGCAUAGCCGACCUGAGAGCGAGAUUGGCCAGACUGGAACAGAGAAACGGUCGCGACUCUUACAGGAGGCAGCGGUAGGGAAUCUUCCGCGAUGGACGAAAGCCUGACGGAGCAACGCCGCGUAAGUGAUGAAGGACUUCGGAUCGGAAAACUCUGUAAUUAGGGAGGAACAAAAGUGUAAGUAACUGUGCAGAUAUUGACAGUACCUAGACAGAAAGCCACGGCUAACUACGUG